CAGUCGCCGCGGUAAUACGUAGGUGGCAAGCGUUGUCCGGAAUUAUUGGGCGUAAAGCGAGCGCAGGCGGUUAGAUAAGUCUGAAGUUAAAGGCUGUGGCUUAACCAUAGUACGCUUUGGAAACUGUUUAACUUGAGUGCAAGAGGGGAGAGUGGAAUUCCAUGUGUAGCGGUGAAAUGCGUAGAUAUAUGGAGGAACACCGGUGGCGAAAGCGGCUCCCUGGCUUGUAACUGACGCUGAGGCUCGAAAGCGUGGGGAGCAAACAGGAUUAGAUACCCCGGUAGUCCCUGUCUCUUAUACA
rnacentral:rRNA from 1 species